rnacentral:rRNA from 1 species
UACAGAGGUCUCAAGCGUUGUUCGGAUUCAUUGGGCGUAAAGCGCGGGCAGGCGGCCCGCUCAGUCGGCCGUGAAAGCGCCGGGCUCAACUCGGCGAGGUCGGGCGAUACUGGCGGGCUGGAGGCUGGUAGAGGGCGGUGGAAUUCCGGGUGUAGUGGUGGAAUGCGUAGAGCUCCGGAGGAACACCAGUGGCGAAGGCGGCCGCCUGGGCCAGUCCUGACGCUGAGCCGCGAAAGCGUGGGGAGCGAUCCGG